rnacentral:rRNA from 1 species
UACGGAGGGGACUAGCGUUGUUCGGAAUUACUGGGCGUAAAGCGUGCGCAGGCGGUUAUGUAAGACAGGUGUGAAAUCCCCGGGCUUAACCUGGGAACUGCAUUUGUGACUGCACGGCUAGAGUGUGUCAGAGGGGGGGUAGAAUUCCACGUGUAGCAGUGAAAUGCGUAGAUAUGUGGAGGAAUACCGAUGGCGAAGGCAGCCCCCUGGGAUAACACUGACGCUCAUGCACGAAAGCGUGGGGAGCAAACAGG